GCGUACAAUAAUAGAUGCUGUUUAGUUUCAUAAGGAAAUUUACAAAGUCUGCUAGAAUUUUGUUUGAAAGUAAACAAGACUUUUUUAUGCAAAUUAAUAGGAAUUUAAACUUUUAAUUAGUGUUUUAUUGUCCCAGUGAACAAUUUGCGUGCAUUAUUGCCCUAGCAGCAAAAGAUAAAGCUGUCAUGACCAAUAGAUUUAGUUUCAGAAAUGUAUUGCAAGAUAGGACUAUGUUUAAUUCAUUGUCUUGAAGACCGGAUACAAAAAAGUGAAAAUAUCACAGCAUGUUAAUUGGUAACACAAGUGUUGCUGAAUCUAUGCGAAGUGUGACAAAGACAGGUAUUCUAGCAUUACGUUAACUAAUUUUUUUGGUAGGUGGUGGCUCACAGAACAGUGAAACUAAGGCCAUUGCUUUUCAAAAUGUUUAACGCUCCAUGGAAAAACAAAAGCUGGCUCUUCAAGACAGUUCUAAAAUUUAAGCUUUAGUUACGCAGUGAAAUUUCAAGUUUAUAAUAGUGUGUAUGUAAAAAAGAUAUUUUUCAAUAAACCAUAACCCAUAACUAA